rnacentral:lncRNA from 1 species
GGCGCGGGGGGGCGCGGGGGGGCGGGCUGGCUCCAGGCACCGCUCCCGCCGCUUGGUUCUUCCCUGCGACGCGCGACCGGACUCUAGGUGGCCCUAGAACUUUGAAAAUACUGAGACUUCUAUUUUCCUCUGAAGAAAGUGUCCUUUGAGCCCACUGAGAGAAGAAACAGUUGGUUGCAGAGACUAGUCUGACUUAGAAGGAAGCAGAGUGUGACAAAUAGAGCCGGACUUUCACCUUUGCCUUAUCAGGAUCAGAGCAGGGUACCCCUGCUCAGGAUGAGUGACUUAUCAGAUGUCAUAGUCUGACUGAGCCAUACAUGGCACAUCCUCCCGGGACAUGAAACUGACUCAGAGUGUACCCAGCUGAUAAUGUUCCUGCCAGUUUGGCUGUCCCCGCCCUCUAGCACUAAGGAUCAGCCUGUGUGGAGGACAGAGGGACUGAACCAAAGACCUUCACAUCGAGCUACAUCCCCAGCUACAUCCCUGACCAAUUUUUAAUUUUUAUUUUGAGACAGGGUCUUACUAAGUCACUAAAUUACUCAGGCUGGGAUUGAAUUUGCAAUCCUCCUGUGUCACUCUCCAAGCAUGCUGGUAUUGCAGGUCUCCUCCCCUCUCCUUUGUUUCCUGGUCCCAGGGAAGCUGAGAGGUCAUGUGGCAGGGGCUCCCUGCUGGGCCCAGGAUUCAUAGUGUUUCAGGACCCAGGCCCAUUUUGCUUGGUCAUUUGUUUCUGUUGUUGAUGUGGCUGCACACCCACAGCUCCGGGAUUCCUUCACCCUCCAACUCCGAAUCCAAUUUCGUAGCUCUCGGUGUUUUUCAGGCUGGACGGAAGCCAGAAAUAUGUGGGGGAAUGUUCAAGGCUUCCCCCGCAGACUCCAGGUUGAGCUCGGCCCUUGAGAUCACACAGACCUAAGUCUCUGUCGUCCUGAGUUGUCCAACCUGACAAAGAAAAACAGAUGCCUUGAGGCCAGGGAAGGCUCAACUCCAGGGAGAACUCCAACCAACCAUUCUCAGAGGCUCCGGGGUUAG